rnacentral:rRNA from 1 species
CGCCCAACAGCUAGCCCAUCCUAAAAAAACAACAUCCCCCAUUAAUACCCCCAAACACACCUUUACAACCUGAAACAAAACAUUCUUCCCCCCUAGUACGGGAGACGGAAAAGGAACUAGGAGCAAUAGAGAAAGUACCGCAAGGGAAAGCUGAAAGAGAAAUGAAACAACCCAGUAAAGCCUAAAAAAGCAGAGACAUGAACUCGUACCUUUUGCAUCAUGAUUUAGCCAGUACUCCUCGAGCAAAAAGAAUUUUAGUUUGAGCCCCCGAAACUGGGUGAGCUACUCCAAGACAGCCUAGAAAUAGGGCGCCCCCGUCUCUGUGGCAAAAGAGUGGGAAGAUCUUUGAGUAGAGGUGACAGACCUACCGAACCUAGUGAUAGCUGGUUGCCGGGGAAAUGAAUAGAAGUUCAGCCUCACAAAUUCUUCCCCUCAACUGUCUACUUGGACUAUGAGACCCGAAGAAGUUAAGAGAGUUAUUCAAAAGGGGUACAGCCCUUUUGAAAUAAGACACAACUUUUUAAGGAGGAUAAAGAUCAUACCUUCUUAAGGGAAGAACGCCGCGGUUGGCUUAAAAGCAGCCAUCCAUACUGAAAGCGUUACAGCUCAAGACCUUUUCCCUCCCCCCAAUUCCGACAAUAAAUCUUAAACCCCUAAACCUACCCGGCCGUCCCAUGCACGCAUGGGAGCAAUUAUGCUAAAAUGAGUAAUAAGAGAGCACUCGACUCUCUCCCCGCACAUGUGUACAUCGGAACGAACCCCCACCGAACCUUAACGGCCCCAAACAAAGAGGGCACUGUGAAACAAACCAAACAACAAGAAAACACCCCACACUUGUACCGUUAACCCCACACUGGUGUGCUUGUAAGGAAAGACUAAAAGAAAAAGAAGGAACUCGGCAACCACAAUAAGCCUCGCCUGUUUACCAAAAACAUCGCCUCUUGAGAUAGCAAUAUAAGAGGUCCAGCCUGCCCAGUGACUGUUCGUUCAACGGCCGCGGUACUCUGACCGUGCGAAGGUAGCGCAAUCACUUGUCUUUUAAAUGAAGACCUGUAUGAAUGGUUAGACGAGGGCUUAACUGUCUCCUUUUUCCAGUCAAUGAAAUUGAUCUCCCCGUGCAGAAGCGGGGAUUAUACCAUAAGACGAGAAGACCCUGUGGAGCUUUAGACACUAAAUCAGCCCUUGUCCAAAACCCCCGCUAAGGGGCCGAACGCUAGAGUGUAGACCUGAUCUGAUGUCUUCGGUUGGGGCGACCUUGGGGAAAGAAAAAACCCCCACGCGGAACGGGAGUACUACUCCCAAAACUGAGAGCCGCCACUCAAAGUACCAGAAAUUUUGACCAACAAUAUGAUCCAGCUUAACGCCGAUCAACGGACCAAGUUACCCCAGGGAUAACAGCGCAAUCCUCUUCUAGAGCCCAUAUCGACAAGAGGGUUUACGACCUCGAUGUUGGAUCAGGACAUCCUAAUGGUGCAGCCGCUAUUAAGGGUUCGUUUGUUCAACGAUUAAAGUCCUACGUGAUCUGAGUUCAGACCGGAGUAAUCCAGGUCAGUUUCUAUCUAUGAAAUAAGCUUUUCUAGUACGAGAGGACCGAAAAGAGGAGGCCAAUGUCCCCGACACGCCUCACCCUAACCUGCUGAAAGCAAAUAAAACAGGUAAGAGGGUAUAUCCCCCUGCUUAAGAUAACAGCAU